UAUAUAUAUUUAACCGCAUUUAAUAUAAUUUAUUUUGGAACUUUAAACCCGUUUGUAAAUAUAUAUGUUGUGAACGUUCUUUUCUAUUUAUUUUAUUUAAACAAAUAUAUUUAUCUAGCUGCGCUUAUAUAAUUGAACAGACUUCCGUACAAUACUAAUUUAAUCCUAGGAAAAUAUAGUAAAAAAUUCUUAUACGCGUUACAAAAUUGUUUAAAUAAAAAAGCGCGUCAAAUUAGGUAAGUAGGUGUUAUAUUCUUAACAAAACGCGGAAAUAAAACCGAUGCUAAUAAUUUAGCUGGUUUCAGCCCGGUUUAAGCGUAAUGUGGCGGAAUGUUUUAUUAAAGGUCUGAGUGCACGCCGUUGGGGCUUAUUGCGGUGGUUUAGUGCGCGACAAUAUAUAUUUUUUAAAAUUUCAAAUAAAUUACUAAUUACCGUUUUUUAGUUGUUUCGAAACCCCAUUUUUAAUUUAUAUAUCGCAUUAUCUAUUAUAAACAAAUUUUAUAUAUUUUUGCGGUAAUAACCUCUCAGGGAAUUAUUUCCAUUAUUAUAUAUUAUCCGCGCAUUAUUACCGCUUAUUAUAUUUAUAUUUAAAUAUACCGCAACUUUCACAGCGGAAGCCGAACGUAACGUCCUUUAUUACUUUUAUUAUAUAAAACCAAUAGGCUUUUUCCACACGGUUUUUAAUCGGCCCGAUAUUAACAUUAUAAUAUAAUAUUUGGACAGCAAAAUAUUUAAAAUAAUUACCGCCGGUUUUUCUGUUCGUCGCGGAUAAUACGUUAUCCAACGUUUUCCAUAUUCCGAAAACUAUUAUUUAUAUUAACGCCAAAAACCGCAUUAUUUAUAAACGUUAACUUUUUAUAAAAAACUUUAUAUCCAAAAACUUCAACCAAUAUAAUAUUAUUAAUAUUAUUAUACGAUUUAUUUUUUUUACCUUUAAAAUUAAUAAAAUUAAAAUUUAUAAAGAAUUUUUAAAACCGGAUUUUGAAAUUUGUUUUAUAUUUGCGAUUUUGUUUUUGGAAAUAGAAAAGAAAAUAUCCGACGUUAAACGAAUAAUAUAAUUUGAAACGUUAAUAUUCAAUAUAAAUAAACCUGCAAAUUUGUAGCAAAGAUACGGAAAAAAACCACACGCGGACUUAAUUUUAAAAAAAUCUAUUUCUUUUGCGUUUGAUUGAUAUUCUGAUAUUUGAAAUUCGGAAACCAAAUAUAUAUUUAUUUUAAUUGAAAUUCAAAACCAAAUUCAAUAAAAAAUCCGCGGUGAUAAACAAAAGUAAUAAUAAUUUACAAAUUACCCAAUUGAAUUUUUUUACGUCUUUAUUAACGCGGUUAUUUCCUAUUAACGUCCCAAGCCUAUUUCAACUAAAUCUAAAUAAUAAUCUUUUGGUUAAAACGGCGAAACCCAAUUAAACCGGCCUUUUUAAUAUAUUUAAAUUAUUUAUUCCGCCCCAUUGGACGAUACGAGAAAAAUUAAAUAAAAACAACUAUAAAAACAAAUACCAAAUAUAUAUAUGUUUGCCAACGUGAAAUAUUUUCGGCGCGCUAUUUUAAAUUUUAUAUGGGAACGGGAUCCACCCAUUAUAAUCAGCCACCCUUAUACUUGCUGUAGCGUUUAUUAUAAUAAAAUUGGUAUUAUGUUUAUUUUACCCCCCAAAAAAUAAUUAUAAAAACGCCGAAAAAAUAACCCAACGUUUUGUUAUUUUCGAAUAAUUAAGUAAAUGGGAGAUUUAUUUUGCAAUAAUUAUAUUUUUCCCAAAUUUGCACCGGUUGUAUAAAUUAUUUUCCCAAAUAAUAUUACCCCAACCAAUAAUUAUAAACUUCGCCAAAACGUUCGUCCGUUUUUAUAACCGGGGGUGGACGAGAGAUAAUUUAUUAAAAUAUUUCCCUGUUGUACAAUUGUAUAUAUAAUUCGCCCAAUAUAAUGUUUUUUUAAUAACAUUUCCGAGAAUUUACGAAUACGGAUUAAAAAAUUAUAAUUCCUAUAUCCAAUGAAAACGGGAGGAAAAACGCUGAAAUAUAAAUAUGGACGCAUUUUUGCAAUUAGAAAACCAACCAUACAUUUAAAACAAAGGACGGCGGAGCAAACAAUUGCGGACAAAAUAAUAGGUAUUAUAACCACGAACGAGUUCGUAAAUAAUAAAAGGUAAACAACCGACCCACCACAUUAGGCGUAAUUAUAUAAAAAUACGGGCGCGUUAAGUUUGCUUUUAACCCCUCCCCCUUUUACAUAUUUUGUAUUAUUAAAAUAUAUGCGUAUAAUAUAACGCGUUGCGAGAAAUAUCCCCCUGGUUUGUGCCGGGGUUGGUAUUAUAGAUAUACGUAAAUAAAUAUUAAUAUAUAAUUAUUAUUUUAUUUUCACGAAAACCCACUAUAACCGAGUAAUAAUAAUACAAUUCAAGGAAAAUUAACCACGUAUACCCUAUUUAUUUGCGUAAUUUUAUUAUACAAUUGUAAAAAAGAAAUUAAAAUAAAUUUAUAUUAUAUGGCAGAUUAAAUAUACGCGCCUUUAACCUUCGAAAUAUAUUAAUAGGCCACGUGCGCUAUUACGUGGUAUUUCAAAACUAUAAUUAGCAAUUACAAAUUUGGAGCAACGGAAGGGUUUCAUACGGCCGAGCUAUUUUUAAUCGCACCCGUUAUAAAAAAUCGGGUAAUAAAAAUUGCAACGGCGAUAAAUCGUACCCCGAAAUAAUAUUGGCACGUAUUUCUUUUUAUAAAUUCUUUAGCGGUUGCCGUAAAUUUUAUCGGUUAAUUAUAUUGGAAGAAUUAAGUUUGAACAAUUGUAACCAAAAUUUAAUAUAAUCUUUUGCACGCAAAUUAGUCCGAAUUAUAUAUAUAUAUAUAUAUAUAUAUAUAUCCCGUCAGAUUUAAUAAUUAAAUCGGCCAAUUAAGCCGGCCAAAAUAAUUGCGGUUAUUACCAAAUCCAUAUACGGACCACAAUUACAAUUUAAAAAUAUAAACUCAAUUACGUUUAAUUUACAAUAUCGAAUUAGCUUUAAUAUAAUUAAAACGUUUUGUUAUUAUAUAUUGUAGUAAUAAUUACGUUAACAGUUAAUUUCACCCACCCUCCCACCGAUCCCAUUAUUUAAACUGCAUAUCGCCCUAUAUUAUAACCCAUUUAUAAAUAUUUCCUUUUUUCCCUCGACGAUUUAUUUUCCUGUUCAAUUACCAAUUUUUUACCAAUUAUUAUUCCAAUAUAUAACCGUUGCGUGGAAAUUGUAACGAUUAAACUAAUAUUUAAUUUAAUUAUUUAACGUAACAAUAAUUACGAUUUAAAAAUUAUAUUAUAUUCGUUUAAUUAUAAUUAUUAAAUAUUAAAUACAAUAUUAUUUAAUUGGACAAAAUUAUUUAACUUUACCCACCCAACCAGGGAUUUAUCCAAUUUGUGGGAAAAGUAAGUCUUUGUUAAGGUAUGCGCGAUAUGAUUAUACCUCAAAUUUGGUUAAAUACGAGCAAUUAACCCAAUUUAAUUAUAUUAAUAAUUGUAAUUUUUGCAUUUUCCCCAGAUUGUAAUUUAUUUCUACAAUUGCAAUCGCAAACCGUGAUAUUUGGGAAACAAAAUAAAAAAAGACCAAAAAGAAUUGUUAUAUCGUUAUAUUUUAUUUGGAAUAUAUACCUUUUAACGCGGAAUUCCCCGCCAAUUUUAGAAAUAUACCGCAAAAAGUUACUCGCACUAAAAUAUUUGAAUAUUUUAAUAAUAAUUUAAAAAGAUCAGACCCGGUCCGUUUAACAAAAACUUUUUACCAAUUACAAAUAAACCGUUAAUUAUUAUAAAAUUACGCAAACGCGACAAAUAUAAUUUUUAAUUUGCCUUUUAUCCCCGCAUUUGGCAAAAAUAAUAUAAUAGGAAAAGUUUAUAACAAAAACGCCGAAAGAAUAUUAUUGUUACUAUUUUAAUACAAAGUCCGGCCAAAAUAAUACUUUUAAUAAUAUAAUUAAUAAAGAUUCCAGCCGCGAUAAUAAUAAUAAUAUUAUGAAUAAUAUAUAUUACAAAUUUUCGCCGCUCCCACCGCAGUUACCAAUAUUUAUUAUAAUUUUCGCCGUUCAGCCCGCCAAAAUUAGGGUUAUAAAAAUUGCCAAACCAAAUCCCACAUUUAAUAUAAUGUUUAACGACGGACUGAUAAGUUACAUUUAAUUUAAAUAUUAUUUUCCAUCGUAUGAAGAUAUAAAUUUAUUAGACCGUUUACCCGCCCUGUUUUAAAAACAAUUUGAAUGGGUAAAAAUAAGAUUCCAAUAUAAAUAAUAGCCAAAAUUCAAUAUAGGGUAAACAAUAUAAAUAUUACCGAAAUAAAUUGCAUUUUUCCCCAUUUGGGUUACGUAAAUUAUUUUAAUGUUAAUAAUAACGGUGUAUCCCCCGUAUAAUUUAGAAUUGGACAUAAUACGUUUUGUUAUACGGAUAUAUUAAUUAUUGCCCAAAUAUCCGAGCGUAUUCACUUAUUAAUCGGGGUCGCCGCGGCGAAAAUACAAAUUAAGGGCCAGAUUUUGAUUUAUUCUUCCAAUAAUAGUUUAUUUAAUACCAGCAAGAUUAUAAUUAUUUCGAUUACAAGUUAAUUAGUACCCUGAAAUAAUAUAUUAAUAUUUUAACUAAACGUUUUUCCCAUCUCUUUAUAAAUUAUUAUAAUUAUUGAAAUUUCCAGUAACUGUCAAACAUUUUCCGAUUUACUAUUAUAGCUAUUAUAACUAUUAUAAUUAUUGUAAUUAUUAUAAUUAAUAUAAUUAAUAUAAUUGGGGUUUUUAUAAUAUUCUUUUAAUUUCUAAUAAUCGAUAACAUUUCUUUAAUUAAUUUAUUUAAUCGCGGACGUAGUCAGGUUUUUGGCUUAUUUUAAAACCGGUGAUUCCGGCAAACUACUUACGGGUAAUAAAAUACCCGUUUGGUGAAAAACUUGGGUUUUCAUACCUAAUAUAUUCCAAACUAAAAAUAUUAUAUUAAUUUUUUAAAAUUUGGCCACCCGACGUUAAUUACUUAUUAUCCAGUUUUCUAUCUGCCAAAUUUAUAUAAAUUUCCCUGGUUUAACAAUUUCUACCGAUAAACUUGAAUUUAUUAUUAUUUCCACUAUUUUUACUAUUAUAUUAUUUUAUUUGGAAAAUAAUAACCAGCCCUAAUUUUUAAUAUAAAAAUUUAAAGUUUAAGCCGGCCCAUCCGGGAUCUUAUAUAUACGGCCGCUUUUAUAUUAAUAAUUAAUUUCGGGCUUGCUAUUACUUUUUUAUCUCGUAUUUCGUCGAACCGGUAAAAUUAUCGACGGUAAUAAAAAGAAUUCUAAUAUAUUUGGGGACGGUUUCCGGAAUCUUCUAAAAUUUAACGUUAAUUAAUUAUUUACGUUAUUUAUAAACGCCGACCAUUUAAUAAUCGUCGAUAACGCUAUUGUUUUAUAUUAUUUGCAUUUAAUAAAAUUUUAAUAACGUUUAGAAAAUUUAUUGGCUGGUUAAUUAAGUUGUUAACAUUAUAAGUUUAUUAAUUUGAAUCGAAUAUAUUAUUAUAAAAUAAUAAUAAUAUUUAUUAUAAAUAUUUGGUUAGGUUUCGAACCGAUGAAGGUCGGACGGUUAAAAAAAACGUGCUAACAAAAUUUAAAUAUACCCGUUAAAUUUGCUAAUAUUGCAAAAUGUAAUUAAGAAUUUAUACGACGAAAACGUCUUUUUUGUUUUAUUAUUACUAAAUCCAAAACUAAUACUAGUUAUUUUAUUUAAAAUAUUUCGGAAAUAAUUCGCAAACCGAACUUUUCAAUUUUAUAUAAGUCCAAUUAAUAAUCGGGGAUUAUUUGGGCGAAAAAAACCGUCGCGACGAAAGGUUUUCCUAAAAAACUUCAAAACAAGUUUUUGAAAUUUUAUUAAUUUAUUAAGUAUAAUUUUCCAUUGUAAUUACAAUGUUUUUCUUGACUUGGUCGUAUUUUAAUUUGGACGCUAUUUGUACCGUUAUAUGUUAAUUACAUCUUCAUAACGACCGCUUUUCUGUCAACGAUUUAAAAUUCGACGGCAAAAUUGGUUUCAUUAUCCAAAAAUCAAAAAUAAAUAGUUUUGGUAAAGUUAGAAUAUUCCCGAUAUUUUUCCCGGUUAUAAUUAAUUUUUUUAUUAUUUUAUUAAUAAAUAUUAGUUGUAUAAUUUUUGUUAAUUAUAAUUAUUAUUGUAAUUUUUGUUAGUUUUUAUUUUGGUUUUGCAUUUUUGAAACUUAUGAGAAUUAUUAUAAUUUCCAAUUUUGUUAAUUAAUUUCCGUUAAAUUACAAAUGCCUAUAUUUUUUUUAAAUUCGAACAAUUACUCUAAAGAAUCGGUUAUUUAAUAAUAAAAUAAAUAUUAGCAAAAGUAUCAUUUAUUAAACGGUAAUCUAUAUAUAAUAUUUCCAUUAUUAAUAUAACUAGGUUAUUAAAAGUUCCGGUGGUUAUUUCCCUACUUUAAUUUUUAUUCCUAUUAAUUUCGUUUCGCAAACGUUUAAAAAAGCCGUUAUACUUCUUUUUAUUUUUAACGUCAAAUAUUAUUACGGUUCGAUCAAAAUAUAUAUUGCCGAUAUACCGCAACCGGCUAUUAUUUUAACCUAAUUGCAAUUUCGCGCAAUAUUAAUAAACUUCGCCGUUAACAAAUCCAAAUCCAAAUCCACGGAUCCGGUUAUUAUUACGUCUUAUUUAAAAUUGUUUAAUCCGCGAAACCAAACAACUAGACGAAAUUUAUAACGAGGAAAAGAAUUUAACUUAUAAUAUAAACAUAUAUAAACGAAAUAAUUAAUUCUAUUAUUUAAAUUGGUAAUUUUAUUAGCGAUAAAAUCGAUAGUAAUUUUAAUUUGGGUAAUAAUUCCCAAUAAAUAUAUAUUUUUAUAAUAAUUAUUACAAUAUAUUUCUGUUUAUUAACUUUCAUUAAAGUUGAAGAGUUUUGUCCGGCCAUAUUAAUUGAAACAGGGUCAAAAGAUUAACUUUUUAUAGGCGAUAAUGCCAAAUAAAUUCAACGGUUAAUAUUAUAUUUUCCAGCAGAUAUAUUUUUUUCACGGAAAAUGGUAAAUAAAACCCAGUAUUUUUAUUACUGGAAAUUUAUAAGGCACCGCGUAUUUUAUUUUAUUUUUCAUAUUAACCGAAAUAUAAUUACUGCAACUUGAACAAUUAAUAAAAUUUGAAAUAUAAUUAGUUUCGGGGUAUUUGUAUAAAACAAAACCUUUAUUCUUUUAUCCGUUUUAAUAAUAUGAAUUAAAAAAGUAUUUUCGGCCGUUAAUAUCUGGGAUUUCCGUUCCAUUUUUAUUAUGUUAAAUAUCAAUAAUAUUAUUCAAUUUCUGUGCCAAAAACUCACAUUUAUAAAUUAGAAAUGGCGGUUGUUGCAUUUGCGCGUUUUGGAAGUAAUUAUUCCCAUAAUUACCCGGGUAUUAUAUUUUCGUUUAUUUUUUAUGAUACGGGCAUUCUUAUUAUACGCCGCGGUAUGGAUUUUAUAUUAACGUUACCGAGCAGCAUAAUUAUUUAUUUUUGCGAAGAAAUCCUCUUUUGUUAUAUUAUUAUUAGAAAGGUUUAAUUUGGCCAUUGUUCUAAAAACGUAAUAAAAAAUAUAAAGGCAAUUUUAAAAAGUAUUUCGAUUUUUUUUGUAGGUUUAAAUAUAAAUAAUAUUAAUUUCACCCUAUUUAGGGAUAAUUUGGAAGUAAAUAAAAAGGGUUAAAACGUAAAGUAUUAGUAUUUUUAAAUAUGGAGUUUAUUUAAUUUUGGCAAUUUUUAGUAAUAAACUUUUUUUUUAAUUUAUAAUUUACGCCGAAAAUAAUAUUUGGAAUAGCAAUCAAACCGAAUUGGUGAAAUUUCUAAUUUUAAGAAAAAUACUAAUUUUCAAACCAAAUAUCGCCAAAUCCGUCAAAAUUUUAAAAAGUCUUUUUGGAAAAUAAUCCCCGCUUUGAUCGGUAAUUAUAAACGCGUUUAUUUAAUAUAACCGCGACGGACUUUUGAAUUGGGUAUAUUCCAAAAUAUAUAUAAGACCGAAGAUGCCAUUUUCAUCGGAUAAAACCAAAACAAUUUAUUUUAUAUUAAAUAAAUUACGGUUUGUUACCAAAAUUAUAAAGGUUUGCAUGCGAAAAAGAACAAAAUUAGCGGGUUUUUGUUAUAAUCCCGAAUUUAUAAGUCCAAAUGUGAAUUUUCCCAUAAUAAUUAUUAUUACAAUUGUUUAUUUUUUCAAUUAUAAUAAUUAUUACGAUUGUUUAUUUUUUUUUAUAGAAAUUGUGUUACAAUUGUUAAUAUACUGACUAAUUUUUAUAAUAUAAUUGCGGCCAUUUUGGAAAAAAGCCAGUUUCGGUGUUAUUGUUAUUCGGGCUGGCUUAUUUCAAACCGAACGUAAUAAAAUAACAACCGAAUUUACCAAUUUGAAUUUCUUUUUAAAAUUUGCGUUUUAAAUAUUAAUAUUUUUAAUACCGGUUUGAAUUUAUAUUAUAAUUGUUAUAAUCAUAAUAUCAUUUAAUUAAUAUAUAACGUUAGUAAAUAGUUGCGAAUUUAUAAUCGUUUAAUUAUUUCGAAUAAUUAAGAUUUGUUAUUUGGAGAAUUUUCGAAAUGCGAAAUAUUCUAUUCGAUUGGGUAAAAGACCGGAUAUUUUGAAAAAUAAAUGUUAUAAUUUCGAAUUUUUGUAAUUAUAUUUAAUAUAUGAUUCAGAUUGUUGGAAUAUAUUACGCGUAUAUAUUUGUUCGAAAUUAUUAAUUUUUUGCUUAUAAAAUAACUGUUGAUAUAUAAAGCGAUAAUGGUUGUAUUCUUUUCACUGUUUUAUUAUUUCGCGUAAAUAAUCGAACCGCCGCAAUAUAUAAAUAGUUUUUAUUCGGAUAAAACUUAUGAAAUAGGCGAAUUUUACUUUCGUUUCGCAUCGAUAUUUAUAUUAGAUAUUCUAAUUUCUUUCCUUUGAAGGAACGUGGUUAAAAAGACGUCGGUUUUCAUUUUACUAUUAAAGUUAUAUAAAUUAAUAAUUAAUAUUAAAAUCAAAAUAAUUGCCGAAAUAUAAUUACCGAUUAUAUUAAUUAUACGCGUUUGCCGUUUUCGAUUUUAAUAUUAUAGAACCGGGUUUUGUAAUUAAUUUUAUAAAGCAAAUUGAAAAUAAUAACGGGUUUUAUAAAAUAGUCGCAAAUAUGCAAAUAAUUGGGGUUUUUGUAAAAAGCCUUGGUUUUCGAAUAAUCAAACGCCGGUAAACGAACGUUUCUUUAAAAAAAGAUAUUACAGAAAAAUAUAAUAAUUACUUUUUAACUAUAAAUAUUUAAUUUCUUUUUAUUAAAUUUGGGAACGUUUAUAAAAAAUGGACGUUCAACCCAUAUAAAAAACCCUAUAUAUCCAAUUUGUUCGAAAUUAAAAAACGCCGAUGGAGUUUUUUAAUCGUUUACCCAAGCCCCAAUUCGCAAAGAAAAACGUGGCGUUAAUAAUUCCAUUUCGAAAAAGAAAUUGUCCAUUACCAAAUAUAUUUUGUUUUCCUAAUUUACGUUUUAUUUUGCGGUUUUAUUUUGUUGGUUUAUAUGGAUAUAUUAGUAUAACAAUAGUUUUUAUUAGGGUUUUGUUUUAAAUUUACUACUGGGGGCUAUAACAAGUUAAUUAAUCAAAAUUAUAUAAUAUUGGUGGCGGGAAAAUUGGUGGUGGUAACGGGUUGGUUAUAUAUAAAAGUUUAAAUUACAAUAUGGUCUUUUCCUCAUUUUGCGUUUCAUUUUUGCGUUGUUAUUAUUAUUUAUUAGCGGCAAAAGAAAUAACGCAAUAUAUUAUAAUUACGCCCUCUUUUAAAUAAAAAUUUACCCUUUUUUAUUUUUUUCCGGGGUCCAGUUAUAUUUAUUUCAUUGAAAUUCAUACUUUUUCUUCCUUAUACAUCCCGUAAACCAAUCUUUUUAACAUUUAUUAUUCCGUUAAUAUUUAAUUUAUUUGGCCGGUUAUUUUUAAUCCCCAUAUUUCCCCCUUUUUCGAUAUCCGUUUAAUAUAGAACGUUUUCAAAUCGUAUAAUUCUUUAGUUAACGACCUCCAAUUUAUUAUUUCAUAAUCUUUCCUACCCAAUUAUAUAAAGUUAGCACCGUUAAAAUUACACGUAAAUAACAUUUCCCUUUUUACGUUGCCCCAAUUAUUUUGGAACAAUAAAUAUAUAUAAUGCAAAUUUCUUUUUAUUAAUUGAAGCUAUAAUAUAUUUGUUGUUAAUAUAAAAACGGACGUAAAUUUCUAAUCUUUUGCGCAACGUCUUUGCAAAUAAUAUCUCCGGGUUAUAAUUUUUGGUUUUAUACCCGUAAUACUAAAGGGCUAAUUGCGGUAUAAUAACUUCUAAUAUACCGUAAUUUAAUUUAUAAAACGCUUUAAAUAUUAUUUAUAAUAGAUUAAUUAUUUAUAAAUAGCGAGGUUAUAUGCGAAAAGAAUAUUAAUUUUUAAAUUUGUAUUUUAUAAUCCAAUAUCUUUCAAUCCGUCAAUAUAACCGGCAGAUAUAUUAUUACAUACGCGGUUUGUAACAAACCUAUAUAUAUUGGGUAAUAUUUUCGGAAAAAGCCUGCUCCAGCGUAUAUUUCAAAACAUAACCCUUUCCAAAUAGCUAUUUGGAUUAAAAUGGCAAUUAUAAUAUAUAAUAUGCGGGAACAGAAUAUAUUUUGUAAAACCGUAAAACGUGGUAAAAUCUGUUUUUAUUUUUUUGCAAAUAAUAAUAUUUCUCCAGGCCGGCUAUAUUUAUUCAUAUAAUAAAUAUAUAAACUUUGCCAAAAAUAGUUAAUAAAAUUACAUGGGUAUGGAAAAAUCCUAGAAUAGGAAAUAUAUAUUAUUUUUUGUCGUAAAACUAUAACGAUUCGAUAUAGGUUAUUUAAAUAUUCGCUGAUAAAUAAUGUGGUUUUUGGGUGCCUAUAUACGAAAAACAAAAUAAAUAAAUAAUUAAAAUUAGUGGGUUAGAAAUUAAAAGAAUAUUCGAGAAGUAUUUUAUAAAGUUGGAUAACGCCUAUGUAUUUUUUACGUUCUUUAUAAUGGCGGAAAUUUGGAUUAAAUAAAAAUUGGUAUAAUUUAUACGAAAUUAAAUUUUGCGGAAUUGUUUCGGGGGAAUAAGGGUGGUUAGGGAAUAAAUAACGGCAAAUUUGGUCCAAAAUAUAAUAUUUAGCGUAUUGGUAAUAUAUAUCCGGAUAUUGCAGAAACUUCGGCCUUUUUAACAAUUUAUGGUAGAAAAAUAUAAUAAUAUACCAUUGGGAUUGCGAAUAUUUUUCAAAUUUUAGCGCUAAUAUAAAAAGGCACAAAAUUAGGUUUUGUAUUCGGUUAUACUAAUUAUAUUUAAAUUUUUACAUUCUAUAUAUAAAAUUCGAAUUAUCGUAUAUAUAAAUAACGUUAAAUUACGGGCGAUUUGUUUCAGGCUAUUAUAUAUAUAUAUUAUUAUUAAUAUUAUUAUUGUUUCUAUAAUAUAAAAUAUGGAUAAAUAUCCCCUUAAUAGCGUAUAUUAGAAAUGGUAUUAAAUUUUUGGAUUUACCGUAUGCUGGUAUUAUAUAAUAAAUAUAAUCCAAACCCGGAAAAUAUAUUUAUAACGCGUUUUGGAAUUCCGUUUUAUAUAAAGUAGAAAACAAUACGCGUAAUAAAUAAUUGUAUUUUUUUCGGAAAAUAAACGUUUAUAAAAAAAGCAAAUAUAUAUAUAGCGUGAUAAUUCAUCGAUAUUAGGGGCUAUAUAAUUGGAAUGCGGCGUUUAUAUUUUUAUAUACCGCGUUUAAAAUUUUUAAGGACGGGUAAAAUAGACGGUGGUUGUAUAAUUAUUUUAAUUAUAAUAAAUAGAAAUUUGGAUAAAAUUGGAAUUAUUGUUAAAAUAUUUUCCUCGGACGUAUUAAAGAUUUAUUGUAAUUGUUUGGUAUUAUAAAUAUCUUUGGCGAAAUACUUUUCCGUACCCGGAAAUUAAACGAUUGUGGAAUCGAAACAUUUAUAUAUAUAUAUAUAUAUAUAUAAAUAUUAUAUUAAUUCUUGGAAUUCUUGGCGUAAAAAUACUUUGGCGAUAAAAGAAACGGCGUAUUAUUAAAAUAGAAUUUAAUGCUAUUAUUACUCAAACGUUGUCGAAUAUUAAUAUUGCGCAAUAUUCUUUUUAAAAAACGUAUACGUAUUGGAACGGACCGAAUAAUAUUAUUAAUAUUUGGUACCGUUAAUUAAAAAUAUAUAUAUUGGCGGAAAUUGGUCCGACGGGCUCUAUUGUAUUAUAAUUGUAAAAUAUCGCGUAUUAUAAUAAUUUGGACGUCGUUUUGGGUGAUGGAAUCAACGCGCUUCGGUUCGAAAACGCUUACAGGCUGGAAUUAAUUAAAUGAAAAUCGCGUAAAUUCCUUUUUGAAUUUAUUUUUAUAUAAAGAAUUAAAUAAUAAAAAUUGCAAUAGCGUGGAAAAUAAUAACGUAAAAUCCGAAAAUAACAAAGUAAAAUCCAAUAAUAAAUAAAUUUGUAAUGCGAGUUGCGUAAAGGGGAAUAUUGCCGGGGAAACUAAGGUGGUUAUUAGCGAUAAUAAAGUUUCUAUUUUAUUUCUAUACAAAUAGUAGGAUUGGGUUGGUAAUAGUAGGUUUGGUCGGUAUAAAUAUACAAAUGGUAAUUGUUAAAAUUAUUAUAUUUGUAACGCGUUGGGGAAAUUUGCCCGUAAAUGGCGAAAAUUGACAAAAUGUUUUGAAAUUUAAAAAAAACGUGAUUUUUUCCGCCAAUAUAAUCAGUAGAAAAACUAUAUGGUUAGUAAGAUAUAUGGAGCGCUCGGUCUAUUUUGCGAAACAAGGGGGUUUUUGUUUAAAUUUCAAAGCUAAUAUACUUGUAAUUUCAAAGUUUAUCCCUAAAACCCAAAGUUUUAUAAUUAAACGUGGCUUAAUUCGUGGUUUUGUUUGUACCUGUGGGUCCAACCAAAGAAUUUUCUGGUUCAGGUCUGAGGACAAUUUGUCGAUUUUCGCCGUACAUGGAGGUAAAAUCGCGAUUUUCAAAAUUUCACUCCUUUAUAAUAAAUUAAAUACAAAUUGUAAAAAUAUACAAAUUGCACGUGGGGUAUGCGGUCGGUCGUAUAAAUUAGCAACGAUGUAAUUUAUAUUUUUAAUGCGCAAAUUAGCCAAAUUGGGUAUAGGCCUUGUUUCAUUUUUCUAUGGAGGUUGGAUUUUGUUAAAAUCUUGUAUUCUUUAGAUUUUAUUU
rnacentral:sRNA from 1 species